GACGAACCGUACGAACGUUAAUCGGAAUCACUGGGCUUAAAGGGUGCGUAGGCUGCGCAGCAAGUUGGGUGUGAAAUCCCUCGGCUUAACCGAGGAACUGCGCCCAAAACUGCUGUGCUCGAGGGAGAUAGAGGUGAGCGGAACUUAGGGUGGAGCGGUGAAAUGCGUUGAUAUCCUAAGGAACACCGGUGGCGAAAGCGGCUCACUGGAUCUCUUCUGACGCUGAGGCACGAAAGCUAGGGUAGCGAACGGG
rnacentral:rRNA from 1 species